rnacentral:misc_RNA from 1 species
GUUAAGCACCAGGCCAAGAAUAAUGCUUACCAUUACUCAGAAGAAAAGUUCCAAAAACAAAAUUACAAGCCAAUAAGCUUUCAAUGUUCUAAUUUUCCAGCUUUCAUCAGGUUUCAUUAAUGAAUAGCCAAGAAGCAAAUUUGCUUCAAAUUACAUCGAACAUGACAAAACUAUCCUGUCAACAAAUACAGAACCGUUAUCAGUUCUUACAAAAUUACGAUCUGGCUUGCCUUGAUUUUUGGCUGCUAGGAAAGGAUGAAAGAAUAUGGCUACUUGUAAUUAUUGACUGAAUGGAGUAUGCACCCUGACAACUUUGUAAUCCUGAGAUUUCGCAAUAUAUAAAGCUGAUAUUGGACUAAGAAACUAAGCAGCUUUUAGUUUCCCAAGUUUGUACUCAAUUGUAUCAUUGGAGCUAAGCAUGCCUUGCGGAGAUAGAAGGCGUUGGAGAGCGAAGAAAAAUCGACCCCAUUGGAAUGCUACUAGUGCACACCAGCAGCCAGGCAGACCAUAUCCUCUGGUGCUUACAAGCCAUAAUAGAAGAGCACCCAGAGAAAAGCAUCCACUCAUUGAUAAACUGAUGAACUUGAAAUCACGUCCAGCCAGCAGUGUUCCCUCAAGACUGUGAGUACAGGGUGUUCCAGAUAAUGCAAUGAAGAACAAAAUCAGCACUUUGUGCAUCUCUUGUAUGACAUUAAGAUCAUGGGUGAAAAUGUUAGGGAAUAACCAAGGAAUAAAUGCUCCAACACUUGCUAUUACUACUCCAAGUAUAGCUCCAACAAUCAUCAGUGACUUUAGCAGCAUUCGUGCCUUCUCUAAACUUCUUUCAACUCCAUUUAGUAACUCAGGCAUGAACGAUUGUGCAGUUUGAGAGAGAGGCUCACCCCACACCACACACAUGCCAUACAUUUGGAUCAUCACCUGAUGAGCAGCGACUGUGAAUGUACCCAUUGCUGUUGCAAAAUAAGUCAUGAGAGAGUAGAAAGCCACCUUUGAGAACAUUGUUACAAAUACUGGAGCAGCUAUGCCGAAUAUUUGUGAAAAUUCCCCUGUCGACGGAAUUGAGAUAGCAAAAGCAUUAUAUCCUUUCUUGUUCAAAGCUUCAAUCAUCAUAUAAGCUGCAAUGACUUGUGAUGUCAUUGUUGACCAUGCUGCUCCUGCAAUACCAUAGCCUAGCCAACUGCACAAGACUAGAUGACCAAUGGCAUUUACGGCACUGGCAACCACCAAAGCACUCAAAGGUCCCAAGGAAUCUUUCAUACCAAGACUUGAGCUUUGACAAACCAAUCCAUAAAGAAUUGCUGGCCAUGCUAAGCCUCGAAUCUGAACAUAUUUGCUAGCUGCAGGUACAAUAUGAAUAUUCUUUGGACCAGCAAAAGCAGUUAGUGCCCAUGAACCAAGGAAUUGUGUAAACAAAAGCAUUAAGAUGCCACAAGUCAAUCCAACAAAGAGUAAAAUGGAUAUUUGGUGCUGCACUUCUUUUUUAUUCCGUUUGGCAAGUGAAGUGGCAACCAUAUUUGAAGUAGCAAUUGAGAGAAACAUGAACAGAAGAUUCAUAUUAUCACAGAAAACAGUCCCUGGACCUAAUGCAGCAAGCUCGGCGGAGCUUCCCCGACCGAUCACAGCAGUGGAGAUGAGACUCAUCAACGGGCCACAGAUCCACAACCCAGUGGCCGGACCCGAAAACAUCAUAAUCUCCUUCAUUUGCUUCCAUAAACUCUGGUCAACCAAUUCCUUUCUCUUUGAACUAACAACUUCCACUUUCUCGUCUUCAAGCUCAGACCCAGAAACCAAAGCUUCAUUACUAGCAUACUCGCUCACAUUUUCAAGUUGAUCAUCAUCGAUAACUUCUGAACCAGAGAAUCCUACGCACGCAGUUCUAAACUGGCUACAGUAGCUAUUGGUAGGGUGUGAAAUGCAUAAGUUUGGGGGUGAAAGAGGGUUGUGUAUGCGAGGUGAAGGCAGAGAAAGAGAUGGUGGGUUCUUCAACAAAAUUGAAGAGCGAAAAUUUGUUUUGAGAAAUGGGUUUUUGAGAGGAGUAGUGUGAGAAGAGAGAGCCAUGGUUUUGAUCUGGAUUUUCUUUCCUUUCUUUUGCUGAAUUUAAGCAUAUUAAGAUAGAGAGAAAGAGAAGAGAGGGAAG